rnacentral:lncRNA from 1 species
AGAGCUAUGAGGAAGUAACUAACACAGACAGUAUCUUUGUCUGCAGUUCCUAGCGGGGUAGCACAUCAUUCAGGAGACAGCUUCUAGAUGAUACUGAAUCCCAAGAGAGGGGCCUGGCAGAUGAAUGACAUCAGCUAAGGCAACCUGAAGGGCCUCGUGCCACACAACGAUAACAGUAAGUACCCUCUAUCUCACUUCAGACAGUCUGAAAGGCAGGCUUUUGGAAAAGCAUCAUCCCCAUUGAGAGGAUGGCCCUGCCUGACAAAUUCUGCUGUGAGGGUGUGGGAGGGGCGCCUUUAUGUCUUCUAUUUCCCUUAAGAAGUUCAGUCACGUUCAGUCACAUGCCUGGCUCGCAGUCUGUUUAUCAGGAUCAAGCACGCUCUCUGGAGAGCGCAGACAGCAGGAUGGGCCGAGCUCGGAUGACAGUCUGCCCUGUGGAGAUUGACUUUAAUGAAGCAAGAAUAAACAGGAAGAUUAAGUACAAGCAGAAACCAGUGACAAGUUCUGAGCUCACCUCUCUGCUGGAAUUGAAGGGCUCUCUGCCGCUGAGCGAGUCUCUGUUAGAGAGAAAGAGGCAUCAUCUGUUUGGUCGCUAAUGAUCCUGUUAUCCACAUCGGGCCCCAGUGUGCGCAAAGAAAAGUUUUCUCUCGAUUUAGAGAGCAACUUCUGUAUGUUUUAUUUAUAUCUACUCACAAAACAAAUUGUUUUCUAAGAUUGGAAAAGUUAAGAUUGAUAAGGGUUGAGAAAAUAUUUAAUAAACUGAAAAAUGACAUCCUUUUAGGGAUUAAGGAUUGCUAGUAUUACUCUGCUAUCUGCACCGAGCAUUCACACCUACUCGGGUGUUUGUGGCAUAAACGUGGCUAGUUCUGCGGGGAGAUCUUACAGAAGGAUGACUGUCCUGGAAUAAACAGACCAACCAGCUAGUCUUCUUUAUAAAGCCACUUCUUAGGGCUUUCUAAACGGAUCCUAAUACCCGACUGUUUUGGUUCCUCAUUUCGUGUAUGAUUUUUGAAAAGUAACUUUUUAAAAACCUGUUUUGCAAAA